rnacentral:rRNA from 1 species
AACGUAGGUGGCGAGCGUUAUCCGGAUUCACUGGGCGUAAAGCGAGUGCAGGUGGCCUCGUAAGUUGGAUGUGAAAUUUCUUGGCUUAACUGAGAAAGGUCAUUCAAUACUGCGGGGCUUGAGGGUAGAAGAGGGGGGUGGAAUUGCCGGUGUAGUGGUGAAAUGCGUAGAUAUCGGCAGGAACACCAGUGGCGAAAGCGGCCCCCUGGUUUACUCCUGACACUCAGACUCGAAAGCUAGGGUAGCGAACGGG